CCACAUGCGUUAAGAUCCUGCAAUUCUCUUGUUAAAAAUAAUUUACCCACAACAGCGCCCUGAAAAGACAAAACCUACCUAAUGCGAGAAGUAAUUUCUAUUGCCUUAACACUUUUAAAACUUGGGGAAAACCUGGAUGUAGAAAAUAUUUGACAGAUCUUAAGUUAAUCAGGAGCGCUGCAAUGAACUGCAGCUUUAGAAACACAUGAUUGUGUUAUCUGAAAUAGCAAUUUAGAUUAGAAAAAUAAGAUAUGAGCUUAUAAUUAUUAAGCUGAUCACAUUUUUUAGUGUUUGAAUAAUUUUCAGAUGUUAUAAUUUGUCUUACGUUGUGCAAAAAGGCUGCUUCAACAAAAAUCUAGCAAAUUUCUAUCACGUGAUGUCAUGACGUAGGAGGGGCAAGGCAGAGGAGACCAUCACUAUCACCACAGCGUUCGCACCAAAGUACCAAAAUCAGUCAAAAUGGUGAAAGUUUAUUUAUGUGGAGGUUGUUCCAACUUCUGUCUGUCUGGACAUGAGUUCAUUGAUUUUAAUUUUGAGCGUGGGUGGGGUUUGUUCAAGGAGUGUGUCUGCUAGCUCCGUAGUGUGUGGUGCACAUUUUCGCGAGGUCUACAAUAAAAGUGACUAAGUGAGCUGAAGGUGGGCUUGAAAAGCAAGGAUAAGGUCAGGCUGAAGCCCACCACAGUACCGUCAGUACACAGCAGAGGCAGCUAACAGCGACAAGGACAAAAAGGAGGUGAGACGGCGUCCACAACAGUGGCUACUCCUGGGUACAGCCGCAGCAGAUUCAAGACUCCACGAGGAACUGCCGCUCGGAAACUUGAAGUUUGUUUGGUAAUUAUUACUUACUAUCUACACAUUGACUUAUGAUAUAGUGUAGUAAUAUAGAAGUGUGAUUUUACGAGUUUAAUUUGAAAUCUCCCUGUGUUUAUUACUGUUUACUCAGAAGAGAAGCUCAUUAGCAUCUGGGUGAGCUGUUAAGAGCUAAUGUUUGUGUAGCUGUAGCCUGUAGGAUGAGGCUGGUGACCAAAGACAACAAGUUAGCGCCCAAAAGGGGAAUAAGCACAGAGGACACAGUGAAUGGCAUUGUUGACAAUAAGGCACCAAACAGUUCAGUCGUGUAUUUUGCUAACGUCAUAGCUGCACCGCCAAUAAUGCUGCAAGUUCUGACAGUCAUGAGAGUAAGCUCCUGUAGACGACAUCAAAACAGCCUGGCCAGCCAGCCCAAUGCUCCCUUAUGGGAGGUUGUUACGUUCUCUGUGUAGUAUUAAAUAGAGGACGAGUUCGGCAGGCCAGGCUAGAAUAAAACAGCUUGGCCAGCUGGUCCUAUAUCUGUAAAUACACAUACAGAGCUAGAUCUUUUUCUGUUGCUAUAGUUGGUCUAUACAGUGGUGUGAAAAACUAUUUGCCCCCUUCCUGAUUUCUUCUUCUUUUGCAUGGUUGUCACACAAAAUGUUUCUGAUCGUCAAACACAUUUAACCGUUAGUCAAAGAUAACACAAGUAAACACAAAAUGCAGUUUUGAAAUGAUGGUUUUUAUUACCUACAUUGCCUUGUGUGAAAAAGUAAUUGCCCCCUUGUUAAAAAAAAACCCAACUGUGGUGUUUAACACCUGAGUUCAAUUUCUGUAGCCAACCCCAAGCCUGAUUACUGCCACACCUGUUUCAAUCAAGAAAUCACUUAAAUAUGAGCUGCCUGACACAGAGAAGUAGACCAAAAGCACCUCAAAAGCUAGACAUCAUGCCAAGAUCCAAAGAAAUUCAAGAACAAAUGAGAACGAAAGUAACUGAGAUCUAUCAGUCUGGUAAAGGUUAUAAAGCCAUUUCUAAAGCUUUGGGACUCCAGCGAACCAGUGAGAGCCAUUAUCCACGAAUGGCAACAACAUGGAACAGUGGUGAACCUUCCCAGGAGUGGGCGGCCGACCAAAAUAACCCCAGGAGCGCAGAGACAGCUCAUCCGAGAGGUCACAAAAGACCCCCAGGACAACUUCUAAAGAACUGCAGGCCUCACUUGCCUCAACUAAGGUCAGUGUUCACGACUCCACCAUAAGAAAGAGACUGGGCAAAAAUGGCCUGCAUGGCAGAUUUCCAAGACGCAAACCACUGUUAAGCAAAAAGAACAUUAGGGCUCGUCUCAAUUUUGCUAAGAAACAUCUCAAUGAUUGCCAAGACUUUUGGGAAAGUACCUUGUGGACUGAUGAGACAAAAGUUGAACUUUUUGGAAGGCAAAUGUCCCGUUACAUCUGGCGUAGAAGUAACACAGCAUUUCAGACAAAGAACAUCAUACCAGCAGUAAAAUAUGGUGGUGGUAGUGUGAUGGUCUGGGGUUGUUUUGCUGCUUCAGGAACUGGAAGGCUUGCUGUGAUAAAUGGAACCAUGACUUCUACUGUCUACCAAAACAUCCUGAAGGAGAAUGUCCGGCCUUCUGUUCGUCAACUACAGCUGAAGUGAUCUUGGGUGUUGCAGCAGGACAAUGACCCAGAACACACCAGCAAAUCCACCUCUGAAUGGCUGGAGAACAACAAAAUGAAGACUUUGGAGUGGCCUAGUCAAAGUCCUGACCUGAAUCCUAUUGAGAUGCUAUGGCAUGACCUUAAAAAGGCGGUUCAUGCUAGAAAACCCUCAAAUAAAGCUGAAUUACAACAAUUCUGCAAAGAUGAGUGGGCCAAAAUUCCUCCAGAGCAGUUAUUGCUGCUAAGGGAGGCCCAACCAGUUAUUAGGUUCAGGGGGCAAUUACUUUUCACACAGGGCAAUGUAGGUUUGGAUUUUGUUCUCUCCCUAAAUAAUAAAAACCAUCAUUUCCAAACUGCAUUUUGUGUUUACUUGUGUUAAAUGUGUUUGAUGAUCAGAAACAUUUUAUGUGACAAACAUGCAAAAGAAUAAGAAAUCAGGAAGGGGGCAAAUAGUUUUUCACACCACUGUAUUUCUAAGCUAGAAAAAUUAAAAACGGUUAUAUAAUGUUGGCUGACAUGUUCAGAUUGUGAAAAUAACUUGCAUAUAUACAUUUGUACUUGUGUUUUAUAGAUAAUGGCAGAUGUAACUUCACAGGUGGAAGCCAUGAGCUCAUUCCUGAUGCUGCUGAUUCUCAUGAUGAUGUGGCAGAAGGCCGUCUGUCUGCAGAUCACCACCAGCUGACCUCGGUGAACCGUGCAACUCGAAACAACUCAUUUGUCACCGAUCCGGUACUCGGCUCAUCUUCCUCAAAGAAGAAGGAUCAUUUUUAAAACCUUCUGUUUGGCGUCGGACUCCAGCUGCGGGUCUCCUUUUCCCGUCUUUCAGCUAAACAGCUGAGCUGUCAGCUGGUCCUUCAUCCUUGUCUUUUAUACAUAAAAACCCACUAAACUACAGAGAAGUAACAAUCUGUCACAGACCGCUCCAAGUUCUAUCUCACCAUUUACCCCCCAGCUCCGUGACAUGUGUGGAAUAGUCCAUAGUGAACCAUCUGUACUGGACCGCUGCAUCCACACCUGAUGGCAACCCUGACAUGAUGGAGGCAAAAUGGAAUUCACUUAUGAAUUAUGUUCAGGACAUCCAUGAACAUGAGACACCUGCAUUUCCAGUUUGUCUCCAUCCUCCACUUGAAGGACAAAGCAGGAACAAGCAGUGGCUAGUUCCAGUAUCAACUUCAGCAGUCAAGUUGGAGAAAGCAGCAUUUCAGCCAGGAUGUGAAGGAUGUGAGGCAGCUGUCCUCUCAUCACAAGACAUUAUCACUAGAGGCCUUCCACUCCCUCAUCCUGAGAUUUGCUUCUAAGCAUACAGGCUCUCAUACCUUGGCACGUACACCAGGCAAGUUUUAUUCUGACGAAAUUUUUAAUAUUUUUAUCAGUUCAUGCAAACACUAUUUACAUAU